CAACAUCGGAAAGCUAGACAGACAAAAAGGGUUUACAUAACCUAAACUUAAACGAAGUAUAGUCUGCAUCGUCUUAAAAAAAUCAUUGCAAAAUACUCAACAAAAAAUUGAUAAAAUACAAACAUGUUAAAGUACGAUGAAAUAAUGCGAACAGAGAUAAUGUAUCGCAAAGCGAUGUUUUGUCAAUGGAAGUUUUUAUCGUCGCUUUAUGUUAAACGUAAAAAUGCGACAUGUCACAUUUACAGUAAUACAGUUUUGCUCUAAUUAAAAUAUCGUUGCGGAUGUCUGCUAGACAUAACGUCUGCUAUCAUUAAUUACUUUCUUUCUAUUAUCUCGACGGUAUAAUAUGUAUUGGACAUUCGCGAGUCUAUCGCAAAUGUCGCUUCAUAUAUCGGCAGGGUCGAUAGACGGUCACAGCUUUAUCAAUUCACAUGACGUAUGGUGUGAUGAGGGCACUACCAUUAUCUACUUUCUUCGAAAUGGACAACGUUACGAUGUAAUUUUUUCUUAACCCGGUGAGUCGCCUUUUUUAAACAUCUCGUAUAUAACUCUAAUCUGCAUUUUUUAUUCAUAUCCAUUGAAGCGAUGCUUUCUGAAUUCAACUUCAUAAGAUUAUAAUGACAAUUAAUUAUGUUUAUUCCUUCUACAUAUGCAAGAAUUUACGAUGAUUGAUAAUGAGGGAAAGUCUAGAGUACGCAGUUUCUGAUAACACGGUUUGCUACGCUCAUAAAUCGUGCGUCUAAGACCGGGUUCUCCGCUGUAACAUAUUAUUGUGUAUCGCUAUAAAUCAAUUAGUAGUCUGAUGGGAAGACUGAAAAAAUUAAAUACGCGUUGCAUCAACGAUUAUGCGCAGUAAAGCAUUUAAUUAAUUAAAUAUACCAUGAACUCUGUAUCUAAAUUUUGUAUGUAAAGUACUUAUGACGCGAGUUUGUGAAAUGAUAAGAUCAUAGCGAAUUUGUUACACAUAUACAGUGUCAAGUGGGCAUUAAUUCUCAAAUUGUCAAGCUAUGCAAAGCAGAUAUGCAAAAAAGAAAGGAAACAUCACGUUGACCAAAAUUAGCUUUGAUUAGCGCAUAUUUUUAAAGAACGUCGAAUUUUGACGAUCAAAAGUCCAAAAAUAGAAUAAGCAUAUAAUAAAAUAAAAAAUAAAAAUAUUUCAGCGUCUGGCUUUCAAUUGAUUUAUCGAUAACGAAUCUAAUCAGACUCGAUUUCAAUGGAUGUUAAUACAGUCGCGGACGCUUGAAUAUCAAUUUAUCAUCAAUUCUUACGCGACGAAGCCAUGCAUGUACAACAGAGCGCUUAUCAACAACAUUUACAUGCCUACGUAAAUGUGUCCAUGAAAGUCGAACCAGUCGUCUUUCGAGCUCGAUUGACCAGUUCGGAUGGGUUGUCUGUCGCAUGCUAUCGUUAUGCAUAAAUUUUUUUUUCAUUUCCAUACUUGGCUCACACCUAGUUCAUCCGAUCUCACUCUCAAGGUAAUCCGGAGAAAUUCUGCUCUCACUGCAGUAUUUCGCUGAGACAUGCAUUUAAACGUACUGCAAUGUGCAUAGAGACUGUAAAUUUUACACGUUUGAAUAAUUCUAUUUAAAAAAGAUGCUGCAAUUGCAAAAUCUGGACUCUAAGUCGGACGUAUGACUCGCGUGAAUCUGCGAAUCAGGUGGAGGAUGGAUUGCGAAAAAGCAACUAGAAUAUUCUUUCCAAGCCGCAAACCGGUGACGAAUGAGGCUCCAUUGAAAUCAAUUGGAAGGUGCAAAACGUCAACCGAGAUAAUUCAGCCAGUUGACCCGCCGUGAUGAUUCUAAUACUAGAGUGCAACACGCACAUUCGUCGUCGCGUUAUAGCGCGGCAUUUCACAGACUCUGUCUUCCUCCUCGCAGCUGUGGCGGAUAGAAAACUUUCAACGAAACGCUUCCUACUAUUCCACCAUCGCUCAUCCUUCAUUUAUCACACUCUGCGCCCAUCAACGCAUCAGCGAUUAACGAAUCUGACCACAAUUUCGUUAUCAGAAUUGAAAUCGGCUAGAUAGAACAAAAGCAGGAAACACGAUGUAUGAUUUAUCUUCGUUACGAGAGCAAUGUAUGUACUCAUCCUUAGUCGAUAUUGUACAACUCUUGAAGAUUAGGCUUGGCGUCAAGUGCACUCCGGUUAUCUAAUCGAGUGCGCUUCUCCAAAGAGCGCAGCUCAUAAAUAAUCUGCCUGCCGUUUGAAUAAUGGAACUUCCGUAAUUCAUGACUAUUAUCAGCAAGGGCACCGUAUAAAUCCGCGUGAGAUGAAGGUACGUAGGAGUUGAACGUGAAAAAAUGUCGCAUUCUUAAAUGCUUUUAGCUGUAACUACCACAUUCGAACAAGUUUUUGCGAAUGAUCCUGCAUAAAUAACGAGCAUAAAGCAACGUUUUUCCCAUUCAAGAGACUCAUAACUCCGAAAAAUACGAAAGUGAUAAUUUUAACAAACUUCAGCGCAGAGUGAGUGAGUGAAUUCUAUUUAAAUAGAACGCGUUUUAAAUAGCACACGCGUAGUUUUUUGUAAAAAUAACAGAGUCUAACCAGCAGAGAUAUUGAAAUGAUUAACUUUUAAUUUCAGAAACAAGAUGCAAGACGAAAUAGAAUAAAUGACAUUGGACGAUGUGAUAACGUCUUGUCAAAUGACCGAAGUGCAACGGAUGUCACGCGAAAUGACGUAAAAUGAUUUUUAUUACAGCACUUAUUUACUUAUAAUUGACGUCUUAAUAAUACAUAUCACCGUAAGAAUUGGAAGAAACGCGGGACGCGAAUUCGAUAUCAUCUAGCGCGCGACAGUCGAAAUAUCACCGCUGACGAUCUUACAUCAAUUACGUGAUUUCGCAACUCGUACGUGGAAUAAACACGGCGCGCGGCGAUAAAGCGGCGACUAAAUUGGACUUUCUGUGAUCAAGAAUCGGAGACGUCGGGUAUCUUACGACGGUCACGCUAUCAGCUAGAAGUUGCCGUUGCAGGAUCGAGUGCCUUGGAAGUGAAUUUAACUGAAAGAUAAAAUUUUGGAAUCCAACGAUGAUUAUCUAUAGAAUACAAAACCGAAACAUCACGAGCUUAUUUCUUUCAACAAAGCACAGAUACCUGUCCAAAUAGAAGAGGCCCAUCAACAUUCCAUUUUUUUUUGGAGUAUAGAAAAAAAAAGAAAAUAUCGUACGUUCGACGAAAGAUUCGAGCCUGUAACUUCUCGUAAAUUUGCGAGUAUCGACAAGUGGACGGCGCGGAAACUGCAGUUUACUGGAGCGCAUUUAGGAACGGUGACACUACUUGGUCCAGCUUUAAUGA